AAAGCUAUACUUUCAGGGGUCACUUCCAUAGUCUGUUACUAGAGAAGCUUCUCUAAUCCUGUACAGUAUUAGCAACCAUGAGGAGGAAGCAUAGUAUUCCGUCCUGAGCGUGAAGCUCUUCGUGUGCUUGAGUGCAGCUGCCACUUGCCACUGAUGAUCAUUCUUGCUGUCUCCUUGGAAGGAGCAAGAGGGGAGAAACACAAUCGAGUGGU